rnacentral:rRNA from 1 species
UGGGGAAUUUUGGACAAUGGGCGAAAGCCUGAUCCAGCAAUGCCGCGUGUGUGAAGAAGGCCUUCGGGUUGUAAAGCACUUUUGUCCGGAAAGAAAUCCUUGGCUCUAAUACAGUCGGGGGAUGACGGUACCGGAAGAAUAAGCACCGGCUAACUACGUGCCAGCAGCCGCGGUAAUACGUAGGGUGCAAGCGUUAAUCGGAAUUACUGGGCGUAAAGCGUGCGCAGGCGGUUUGCUAAGACCGAUGUGAAAUCCCCGGGCUCAACCUGGGAACUGCAUUGGUGACUGGCAGGCUAGAGUAUGGCAGAGGGGGGUAGAAUUCCACGUGUAGCAGUGAAAUGCGUAGAGAUGUGGAGGAAUACCGAUGGCGAAGGCAGCCCCCUGGGCCAAUACUGACGCUCAUGCACGAAGGCGUGGGGAGCAAACAGGAUUAGAUACCCUGGUAGUCCACGCCCUAAACGAUGUCAACUAGUUGUUGGGGAUUCAUUUCCUUAGUAACGUAGCUAACGCGUGAAGUUGACCGCCUGGGGAGUACGGUCGCAAGAUUAAAACUCAAAUGAAUUGACGGGGUCCAUA